rnacentral:rRNA from 1 species
AUUGAACGCUGGCGGCAGGCCUAACACAUGCAAGUCGAGCGAGCGGCGGACGGGUGAGUAAUGUCUGGGGACUGCCCGAUAGAGAGGGAUAACUACUGGAAACGGUAGCUAAUACCGCAUACUAUCGGCUACCCCACAUGGGAUUAGCUAGUAGGUGUGGUAAUGGCUCACGUAGGCGACGAUCCCUAGCUGAUCUGAGAGGAUGAGCAGGAAAACUGGGACGGAGACACGGCAAAGACUCCUAGGGAGGCAGCGGUGGGGAAUAAUGCACAAUGGGGGCAAGCCUGAUGGAGCGAUGGCGCGAGUAUGAAGAAGGCUCUAGGGUUGUAAAGUACUGUCAGUCGAGAGGAGUUACCGAAAGAAGAAGCAACGGCUAACUACGUGCCAGCAGCCGCGGUAAUAC